rnacentral:pre_miRNA from 1 species
AAUAUACUCCAUCCAUCCAGAAAUACAUGUCGGAGGAAUGGAUGUAUCUAGAUNNNNNNUAGUUCUAGAUACAUCCAUUCUUAUCCAUUUUUGCUACAAGUAAUUCCGGACAGAGCGGGUAUAAA